CCCCGGCAGCCUGGGAGAUCCUGCUCUGUCUGCUGCCUGCCCUGGGCGUGGGCAGGGACAGGCAGGGCUCCUCCAGCAUCUCCCUCUGCCAACCCAUUCCGGCGUUCUCAGCCCAGGUGGCUUCAGGGAGGUGGGCUGAGGUGCCCCCACUCCGGGAGGAGAGUGGAGCUCCUGCUGGGCACGGAGCUGGUGAGGAAUGGCCGAAGCCACCUCAGAGCUAGGUGAUCCGAGGCAAAGGGGUUCCUCAGAGUCUGUCCCUACAGAUCCAUCCUGGCUUGGCGGGUCUCAUCCAGCUUUUCAGAUGUGGGGAAGGGCCCUCCCAGGUCUGGAGAAGGAAUUGCUUUCUGCUCUGUAUAUGUCUAGGAUGGAAAAAAACGGGAAGCCGGAGGCAAGCCCAGGCGGGUGGGCUCCCCACACUGUGGAGAAACGGGCUGCUCGCUUACCUCCUCUGGAUGGUUGUGCUGCUGCCGCUUUCUGAGGAAAACAAGCUGGGAUGGGGCUGGGGCUCAGUGCCAGAGGUUUGCAGGGUGUUGGAGCUGCCCUACCCAGCACCCUCACACCGACUGAGAGCAUCCCACGGUCUGCAGCUUUUGGGACCCCAACUGCAGCCCAGCCUGUGCCACUGCCCUGCUCUGUCCUCCUGGCCAUGGCCCCAGCUGGCCCCACUGGUGUUAUUCCAGCUGCUGGUGUUUCCCUGGCUCCAUCACACACCGGGGGAACAGUGGCCACAUCCUCAAACACCUGGAGCUGCAGCAGCAGCUGGUGUGACCCUGUAGGAGCCAGUCCCUGAGCCCUGGCCUGGACACCGGGCGGGAGGGAAGGGCAGGGGGAGGGCAGCAGGUGAUGGCAGGACAGCAGUAGCUGUUUCAGCAGUGGGUCACCUGGGGACACUGUGCCAUUCCAGCAAGCUGCCGUGUCCCCCUGCCUCCUUCCUCUGCAGGGGCAACCACCAGCUUCUAUUCAGGUUGAGCUCGAGGACACUGGGUCCAACCAGGGUGUGAUACCAUCCCUAGAGGGGCAUGUGUCCCUCUGCAAAGGGACAGUGACAGUAACCAGGGCACUGCAACCUCUCGGAGCAGACAUGGCCACCGUGGUCCCAGUCUGUCCCCAUCCCGCUGUGCUUCAAGGGCUUCCUGUUGUUGCUGGCUGCUCCUGGGGAAGUUGUGGCAUCUUGACACUGGGAUGCUGUACAUGGGGUUGGGGAGCCACUGGUGUGACAUGACCUGUGUCCCCGUCCCAGUGGCAAUGUCCCAGGCACAGGACUACCCUGCCUGUGCCUGCCCUCGCUCCCUAUCCCCUGUGUAGCAUCCAGGGAGCCCUCGGAAGGGCAAUGGCAUGGCCUCCCUGCCACUGGCCGAUGGGAGAGAAGUUAACUUCCAACAAACACAGGCAGACGCUUCCGCCAAAGAUUUCCCAAGCAGUUAUCAGUAGGAAUUUGGGGAAGGCUGUGUCUAGACAGGCUGCAGCUCUGGGUGGCUGCUGGAUAGAGUGGCAUUUCCCUCCACACUUGUCAAGGAGAAGUCUGCAGAUGAUUAAGGGCCCUUUUUUUACUCUUGGUCUCCUUUUCUGUCCAAAAACCAGCCUUGUUCUUGAUCAGGCUUUUCCAAGGCUUGUUCCUCCAAAGCCCUUUGCUCAUCCCUGGCAUCCUGCUGCUGCUCCUUGCCCAGGGCUGAGUGGGGAGAGCUGGUACACAGUGGUGUAUCCUGAUGCAGUUCCUGGUGAGCAGGGCCAUGGUGAAUCGCAUCCUCAGCCCACGGCACCACUGCCUCCUGGCCGGUGAGGGCUCUGGCUGUGGUGGGCACUGCUCUGUCGGUCACUGCCACGCCAUGGCAGGGUGCUGGGCAGUGGCAUGGCACAGCCAUCCCACAGGCAGGAGCACAGGCAGUGCUGGACUGGGGACCCAGUGCUCCCCAGGGUGGCCCCAGCACCUGAGCCUGUGUGCGGCAGAGGCAGGGAACGCUUAGUGAUGAGGCAAGAGGCUGGAAAUCUGAGCUCUGGAGCUGUUUCACCAUCCUCUGACCUUGACCAGGAGCAUAGAGGAGGCAACUGGAGCAGAUCCUGCACAGGGGAAAGCUCCAGCUGGGAGGGAUGAAGCCCAAUGCAUGUCCUGUGGCUGAAGGCCAGUGGGUGCUGGGGACUGCUUGCUGCUGCUGAAUCCCAAAUCCCUUUGCCUGCCCAGGACAAUGUACAUUCACAGGGUUCAGCUCAGCCCUGCUCCAUGCCUGGCUCUGGCCUCCCCAGGGCAGUGGGGACAUGCUGCCGGCCUGCCCUGGGGAUUUUGGGGGAGCUGGGACAGUGUGUGCCCACCAGCAGCACCCACCAGCUGGGCUGACGGAGGGUCCAGAGGAGUGGGGUCUCCUCUACCUCCUCCUCUAAUAGCCACCAAGGGGGUCACUGGCCAGGAGGUGCUGGUGCUCCCCCAGCCCCUGGGGUACCCCAGCCCUUUGGCUUAGGGCAGGGACAGCAGGGACAGAAGCUGGCAUGGUCAGGGAGACAAAGGACAGAGGCUGGAGUCAGACCCCAUGCAGAGCCAGGGACACAGUUACCUGGGGGGAUCAGGGCUUUUCUGUCCCACACCACAGUAACACCAGACUGGGCAAUGAAAGGGGCCAGUGGGUGACCUGGGCUGCUGCAGGGAUGCAGGUAUGGACAGGGACCCUUCCCAGCAGCGACAUCCAAAUCCUCACUGCACACUCAGCCUGUGCAGCUGAGUGUGGAGCUGAUGUGGCUGUGCCAGCACCAUCCAGGGGCAGGGGGAAGCAGAGCUGGGCUCUGCAGAACAGCACGGGGGGAGCCCAUUGCAGGGCUGGUGCUGCAGGGAUGAGCCCCCUCGGGGGUGGCUGCUGUGAGUGAGCGUUUUCCUACUGCUGGGUCAAGGUGAGGGAUGAAGCUGCUUUGUUCCAGUGAACAAGCUGGGACAGCCUCACUGCCUGUAGGGAUAGGGACGGGGCUUUUGGAGGGCCAGCAGGCCCCAGGCCAGCCCUGUGUCUGCACUGGGUGCACACUGUGUGGCUGUCAGCUGGGCAGGUGACAGACUUGUGUGGGGUUGGGCUGAGCCUGCCUGCCCAGGCUCUGCUUCAUGUGAGACAUAUGGGAGCUUCUGAGCUCCAGCAUCUUCCCUGUCCUACUGUCACCAAAAUUGAGAAGCCCGGUGCCAUACAGUGCCAGAGCUGCAGGAGAUGGUCAGGGUGAAGGAGGCAGCAUCCUGGUGGGGCUGUCCAGGCCACAGCCAGCCCUGCAGGGCACCAGUGCCACCUGCCCCAGAGUGAAUCUUGGGAGGCUUGGCCCCAGCUGGGUCUGUGAUGGGAGUACACCAGCACUUUUAAGCCCCUUUCCCAGUGGCUGCAGGGAGGUGGGAUGUGCUGGAAAUGCUGGAGGCUUCCCACCCUGUGGCAGCAGGAUAUGUGGGUGCUGGUUGGUGGUGUGGUCUUUGCCCUGAGACCUCUGAGAGGGAGCACAUCUCCCCACUCUGCAGGGACAUCCCUGGCAUGGUGGGCAGUACAGGGCUGUGGGCAGCGCUGCUUUUCCCUGGGAGGUGCUGGGAGGUGGGUGAGCAGCUUCACUGGGACAAGGAAAGCAGCAGACAGGGCCUGGGGACGGGGCUGUGACAUCCAAUGUGCCAUAUGUGGGGCAGAUGCUCUGUGGUGGCAAACAGGCCACCCUGGUGCUCACUGUGGGACCAGCUCACUGGUACAUAGGGCAACGUCUCUCUCUCUCAACCUGGCCUUCUUACCUGAGAUCCCUCACUGCAGAUUUGUCCUUCCUUUUAUUCCUCUCCCUUUUCAAUCUUAUUUUUUAAAUUUCAUGUUUACUACUCCCCACCUCCAGUGUCCAUGGGCUCUGCCAGAGGCUCUGCUGGCAUGGGGCAGCCCGGCUGCACGGGCACUGCAGGGCUACAGUGCCUGUUACAUCAACCCCAAUGUAAAUUUGUGCUCCAUCUUUUCCCACAUCUCAUCUCCUGUGUCAUGGGAACUCGAACCAUUUAGGGCAUUUUAUUUUAGUGUCUUUAACUGCUCAGCUGGGUGGGCAGAAGGCAGGGCUGGGAAGGCUGGGGCCUGUGGGGGACAUGAAUUACAAACUGUGCUCCUCUCAUGUCCAGGCAAUGCUGCACACACCCCCCCACUCCCCCUCUCCCUUGCUGGAGCAGAGAUAAGAUGAUAGAAUUGGAAUAAGCAGCCAAAGUUCUGGCAGCUUAAUGAGCUCCAGCCACACCAUGGCUGUGCCUCUGCCAGAGGAGAGGGAGUCUGGCUGCUCCCCGCCUGCUCCAGCUCCAGGCUCUUUGCUGGCCUGUGAGCUCCUGCAUGCUCUCCAUGCUGAGUGUCCCCUCAGCCAGCUCCAUCUGGGAGCCAUGCAAGAGUGAGGUGAGGAGCAAGGAGGAUGCUGGAGCAGCCAUCCCACACUGCUUGGGAACAGUGUCCACAGGGAGCUCUCCCUGCAGCGCUCUGGGUUCCCACCAGCCCUUUCCAGCGAGGGCUGGAGGCUUGUGACGUGCUGGCCUGUCCCCGCUGGGACUUCACCCCUGCACCACUUCCUCCAGACCGGGAAUGUGACGUGUAAACAAAGCAGGAGGGCUGGUGCCGGCACCCGCUCCCACGCUCCGUGUGCCCCGGGGCCGGCACCAGGCUCCAGCCCUCACCAGCAGGGCUCCCCACACCCCCAAAACACCUUCCAGCACGGGAGGGGUGGGGGGCUCAGGGCUGUGCUGCCCUGCUGUGGGAGAGGCAGCUCGGGGAGGAGGAAACCAGCUAAGGAUGGGGAGAUGGUGCUCUGAGGGUCGGUGGCAGCAGGGAAGAGCUGAGGCCAUGAGAAAAGAGGUGACCUGCGUGCCUCAGCUCUUCCUUAGCUUCCAUGGCUUCUUCCAGCCAUCAGUCCCCAUUCUGCUGCUCCUGCCCCUCUGGAGGCUCAUCAUCCAAAAGCCAGGCUCUGUUCCUGGAGGGUUUCAGCCUCUCAUCACAGUGCUGGCACCAGUGGCUUUGCAAGAACCAGUGGGUUCUAUGUGGCAGCACAGGACUGGGCACAGUGGUGGUCCCACAGAGACAGCAAGGUCAGUCCCCUACCCUGGGGAGACAAACAGGGAGGUGUCAACAAGGAGGUGACAGAGGGCUUGUUUGUCCCUGGGCUCUCUCCAUCCAUCCAUUCCAUGCCGCCACCCUGUGCUUCAAAUGGGGUGUGGAGGAUCUCAGCUCUUCAGAGACACCAAAUUAGGUGAUUUCUCCCUCGCUCCGGCCCCAAGAAGAAGGAGCACAAACCAGAUGCGCUCUCUCCUCUGCACCCAUCCCCUGCUCUCGGCCCCCCAAACCUGCUUCUUUGUUCUUGGCAUUAUAAUUUAUCCCAGCAAAACCCAGAGAGAAAGAGCAGCAUCCCCCUGGGCCCCCUUGGCUCUCCCCCAGCAUGGGAGAUGGGGGCCGCUUGGUCUCCAAAUCUGCCUUUUUGACCAUAAAAGGGCAGGCACGCAGCCCCGGCAGGAGGAUGGGAAAGGGAAGGCAGAGCUAUUUAUAGCUGAGCAUCAGGACCUCAGCCUGAACUCGGGGUUAAUCAGCCUGUGACCAGAUUAGGAUCUCCCCUGGCCCCUCCAUUUUCUCAUAAACCUUUGAUUUAAUACCAGUGCUGGCAAGGGAGGGAGGGGAAGGAAGGGAGAGAGGAGGCACCUCUCCUCCACAGAGGCCACCAUGGUCUGUGGGGGACAGGAUGGAGAUGCUGGGAGAGCUGGAAGGCCCCAGUGCCCAUUGGAAAGAGCAUUGGAGCUGUUCUGCCACCAGCUUGUGCUGCAAAGUGCCAGGGAGCAGCAUCCCUGUGUGAUUGCUGCCUGCAAGGGACCCAACAGGCAGCAGGAGCUGCCCUGGGGUCAAUUCCUUAAAUUUCUCCUUAAGUCGAAUCCUUCCAGCAACGGCAUGUUCCCCUACAUCAUUCCAGGCCUCAUCACCCUGGAAGGGGCACCCAAGGGGGUCCUUGGGCAGGAUUUACGUUGCCUGGCGCUACCUCAGCCAACCGGAGGUGGCAUCAGGGCUGUUUGGGAAUCUGAUGACCAGAGAUGGGUCAAAGCUCAUCUGGGGCAGGGAUGUAGUUCUGAUGGCUGGUGGAGAUCAUGAUUUUGGGUGCUGAGAGGAGAGAAAAGGGGCUGAGCAUCACUCAGUGCCUUCUUCCAGCCAGCGAGCCGGGAGCAGAGCCCUCCUGGCUGGGGGCUCAUGAGUCCCUCAAAAGGCCCAGUCUGGCCUUGCAGGGCUGGGGAAUUUCGAGGAGGAAACAAAUCCCAACUGCUAUUAAAAAAGGACAUUUCCUGCAGCCACAGCCUGCCUGGAGAGGGGAAAGGGCGCUGUGUUGUAACCGCGGGGAGGGCCGAGCUCUGACUCAGCCCAGUGCUGCCGGGGAGGCAGCUCGUGGCCACGGAGCACUCGCCUGCUCCCAUCCUCCCAGCACCCACCGGCAGCGGCAGGGUGGGCACACAGGGACACGGCUCGGCAGAGGCAAAGGCUGGAGGCUCAGCUGUGGGGGUCCCUGAGGACACUGAAGCUGCUGAACACACAAGAGGACUGUACAGCUCCAGAAACAUGGCCAGUGGCGAGAGAUGGGCAGAGCCAGCAUGCCAGCACAGACAUCACCACGGGCCCUUUCCCUGGGCACAGGCAGGGAUAUGCUGUGGGAAAACCUGCCCAGCCAUGCAAAGGGGGCUGAAUCCCAGGGACUGGCUCCCAGGGUCUGGAUCUCAGGGUUGGAUCCCAGGGGCUAGUUCCCAGGGGUUGGCUCCCAGGGCCUGGUUCCCAGGUGUUGGAUCCCAAGGCUGGCUCCCAGGGGCUGGCUCCCAGGGCACACUGCAGUGCUGCACAUUGCUCCUGCUGAUAGCACAGCUACCCCUUCCUGGGGGCUUGCACGGGGCUGGGAAGAGGCUCUGCAAAGGCACAGGGUGUCAGGAAGGUCCCUGCAGCACCUCCCCUGGUUCUGGGUCCCUGUGGCUGUUCUCACACUUGGCCGGGGCUCAGGGCUGGCCUGGCUGUGGCUGGUACAGGGACAACCCCGUGCUGGACAAGGCUGCUUCCAACCCUCAUUCCUGAGCAAUGGAUGCCACAAGCGUGGGGCUUCGCGGGGCUCUUUCCCCCAAAGGACAAGAGGCAUCAGACGGGAGAGCCCGGCCCGUUGCACGGGGUGGUUUGUGCCCCGGGUCCCAGCCGGGUGCAGGGGGGCCGGUCCGGAUGCAGGGGCUCAAGGCAGAGAGGCACCAUCUGCUUCUCAUCAGGCCGCUGGGAGCGCCGCGGCUGCCGGGGCCGCGGCUGUGAUAGAUGGUCUGUUUAUCACGUUCCGGCUCUGCUCAGGAUGUUAGUGUUCGCCUGCAAAGGACGUUUCUGGGCUCAGCUGCUCCCUCCAGCCUCCCUCGCCUCCUGCUUCCCCCCGGAUCCUCACCCUUGAGGCCAGAUGGGCUGAAGCCUGUCCAGACCCGGGGGUGAAGGUUCAGGGUGUUUCCAUCCCACAGCACCUGGUCCUUGCCCAUGGAAAGGGGUGGGCUCAGCUCUGCCACCCAGGGAACGGCUGAGGCCUGAGCCUGGGAGGCUGAGGUGCUGGCCAGCUGCAGGCUCUCCUGGGGACAGGGACAAGGACAAGGGUGGGGAGGGACAGCAGGAGUUACCACACGCUCCUCAUCUUCCAAGGUGGAGAAGGGGCAGAGGGCAGGGAUGAAUGUGCUAUGCGAUACCCAAAGUCUUGUUCUCCCCUCCAUGGGGGGACUCCCAUCACCCUCACCCUCUUGCUCUCUGCACUGGCCCCAUGUCCCUAUCCCUGUCUGUUCCUGCACAGCUGGGGCCAGGCUGAGCUACUAAGCCCAAGUCUGUCCUGCCAUCAUGUUGAGAUUGGGCACAGAACGGGCACUCAGCUCUGGAGGCAGGGACACCCAGCCGGGCAGGCAGACACACAGCCUUGCUGCGUCCCGACCUAUGGACACACGUCGGCCGCAGCGAGGGUGACCACGGACACCUCCAUGUCUCCCAGCCCAAGGUGCAGUGCUGCAUCUCUGGUCAAUUGGGAGUCUGAGAUGAAGCACUGUAGCUCGGGAAGGGAGGAACUGCGCACCCUGGGGACCAUCAGGACCCCCCAUCCAGCGGGACAAGUGACACAAGGAGAGCUGAGCCCUGGCUACAGGAAAGGGCUCAUCCCAAAGCUCCAGUUCCCUGCAGAAAGCAAGGAGGGAGAGGAGGGUGAGGAGGUUUCUCCUUGCAGCAGAGGAACCCCUGUGUCUGCCUGGGACCCCUGGCCUGGCACUGCGCACAGUGGGAAGGGUCACACAGAAAUGUGGGGGCACAGCAGGGAUGUGGCAGAGGUUUCUCCCUGUCAGCCACAUGCGGAGCCUGGACAGCGAUGAGGAUGCACAGGGCUGGCAAAGAGUCUGGGUUGCCGUGUCCUCAGGGUCCAGUUUUCCCAGGAAUCCCUUAGGUGCUAUGUUGGGGAUUCCUGGAAAUACUGUUCUUGGGGCCACGGCUCGGCAGCCCAUCCCAUGGGGAGCCACAGCCUGCAGAAGAACCAGCAAUGGAGGUACAGGGCCACCACAGGGGGGGCUGGGAGGGGGAUUCUCUGGGUAUUCCAAGCAUGGGGAGGUGGGUAACCCAGCCCCCCACACAGAGGGGUGAUGGAUGUCCCCGCUGGUCAUCCUGCAGGAGGAUGUGGCUGGUGGACAGCCACACACACCCCUCCUGCCCUGCCCAGGCCACCCCAGGUCAAUAAAGGUCUCAAAUCCUGA